rnacentral:lncRNA from 1 species
UGUUUGGGAGAAAUACGCUUCUAUAGGGUUUGGGAUUCUUCUUCCCAAAAUAUUUAUUACUCAAUUAUCUCCACAAAUGAAAUGCAACUUAAUUUUCUCUGCCUUACAAAAAGAAAAAUGCCAUUCUAAUUUUUGUUUUGUUUUAGGCAAGUAUAUGGAGAAUGGAAGAAACCCUGGAACAAUGAUCAAGACUUGUUCUGUUUCCUAACAACAGGAGGAAGAAUACUGUGCAGUCAUUUAGGGCUCAGAAGUCAAGCAGCCAUCAGCUGGGGCACUCUAAAUGCAGAG